rnacentral:rRNA from 1 species
AUUGAACGCUGGCGGCGUGCCUAACACAUGCAAGUCGAGCGGUAACAGGUGUAGCAAUACAUGCUGACGAGCGGCGGACGGGUGAGUAACGCUUGGGAAUCUGCCUAUUAGUGGGGGACAACCCGGGGAAACUCGGGCUAAUACCGCAUACGCACUACGGUGGAAAGCCGGGGACCGCAAGGCCUGGCGCUAACAGAUGAGCCCAAGUCGGAUUAGCUAGUUGGUAGGGUAACGGCCUACCAAGGCGACGAUCCGUAACUGGUCUGAGAGGACGACCAGUCACACCGGAACUGAGACACGGCCCAGACUCCUACGGGAGGCAGCAGUGGGGAAUUUUGGACAAUGGGGGCAACCCUGAUCCAGCCAUUCCGCGUGAGUGAAGAA